ACAGCCGUAUCACGUUGGAACACCAGUUCUCGCCCGUUCACCGAAGUUAAGCAACGUCGAACCUGAUCAGUACCUAGACGGGUGACUGCUUGGAAAUACCGGUUACUGUCAG